GGAGAGAUGGCUGAGUGGCUUAAAGCAGCGCAUUGCUAAUGCGCCGUACACACGUACCGAGGGUUCGAAUCCCUCUCUUUCCG
rnacentral:tRNA from 1 species